rnacentral:lncRNA from 1 species
GUGAGCCGUAGUUAUACCACUGUACUGCAGCCUGGGUGACAGGGUAAGAUGCUGUCUCAAACAAAAUAAAAAGGAAGGAAGGAAGGAAGGAGAGACAGAGCUGUUCAGUUCUCUUGCCCAAAGUCACAGGACAAGUGUAACAAACAGACUCAUCCCAGAUGUCAGAGUUAGGUGCUGAAGCCAGCAACAAGGAGAAACACCAAAUAGUGAAAUUUAUCCUGAGAAAAUAUGCCUCGCUGGAAAAAUGUAUUCUUUAAACCCAAACAGAGCCAAUUUUCCCACCAUUAUUAGAAUGGUCCGUAUUCCUUUAGUUGGACAACAAUAUGCGUAAGGGUCAUUUCAAAGGAAAAAUGUGAAUCUUUAAACCCUACAUCACACUCAAAUGUACUUUGAUGUUCAUUCUAGAGAAGAAUGUGAAAAAUCAGGAGUUGGCCAGGAGCAGUGGCUCACACCUGUAAUCCCAGCACUUUGGGAGGCUGAGGCGGACAGAUCACCUGAGGUCAGGAGUUUGAGACCAGCCUGACCAACAUGGUGAAACCACGCCUCUACUUAAAAUACAAAAUUGGCCAGGUGUGGUGAUGCAUGCCUGUAGUCCCAGCCGCUGGAGAGGCUGAGGCAGGAGAAUCACUUCAACCCGGCAGGCAGAGUUUGCAAUGAGCCAAGAUGGUGCCACUGCGCUCUAGCCUGGGUGACACAGCAAGAUUCCAUCUCAAAAAAAAAAAAAAAAAGGAAAAAAGACAACUAAGGAGUCAAGGAAGAGCGUAUUCCCGUUUUCUCAAUUAAGUAGACGUUCUCAUACAAGCUAAACUACUAUACUCUCCAGCCUACAACACCAUCUCUA